ensembl:lncRNA
CUAACAUUUAAAAAAAAAUCACUGGAUGAGAUUAACAACAGAUUGGAGAUGAUGGAAGAAAGUGAACUUGAAGAUAGAUGAAUAGAUUAUCCAACCUGAAUAACAAAGAGAAAACAAGAUUGAAAAAAUUUAAAGAGCCAUAGGGCCCUGUGGGAUAAUAUCAAAAAGUCUCAUAAAGUGCCAUUAGGGUCUCAAAAGGAGAGGAGAAAGAGAAACUGGGGCGAGUAUAGGCAUUUGUCAAUAGUCAAAUUGUACGUUUAAAUUUGUGCAUUUCAAAUAUGUAUGUUUUAUGACAAAAGAAUAAAAGGAAUCAUAAAAAAUACAAAUCCCGGGUUAAUUAUAUUCACGCUAAAGUGUUUAGGAGUGAAAUGUAUUGAUGCCUGUGCUUUGAAAUGCGUCAUAAAAAUAGGAUGGGCUGACAGAGGAAUGGUUAGAGCAAUAGAUAUGUAACAAAGCAAGAACGGUAAAAGGUUAAUUCUAGAAUCUUGGUGGUAGAUAUAUGGUGUAACAUGAUAAUUCUUUCAAGUUUUCUGUAUUUUUGAAAUUUUUUCUAGUAAAAUGAUAGAAUUGAGUAGUGCAUUUUUAGUGUAUUUGUGUCCAAAACUUACUCAAAAUAAAUAAUCCAUGAAAAAAAUCACUUGCAAGAGUGUAAGUGCUAUAGAUGCAUUAAUUAUUAUUAUUUGAACCACUUUCAUCUUUCCUGGAGAACUGUAGUAGUCUCCUAGCUGACCUCUCUUCACUUUCUCCCUCCAAUUCAUUCUUCAUUCGGCAGCCAGAAUGACACUGCAAAAAUGUAGAUCUGGAAAUGUUGAUUCCCUUGCUUACAAAACACUAAUGGCUUCUCUUGCUCUUAGAAUAAAAUUUAAUCUCCUCAUAGCCUACAGGGGCUGCCUCCCUCGAAUGCCUGAUCCUUAACCCAUACAGCCCUCUCCCCGGGCAGGCUUUGCACUUGCUGUCCCGUCAGCCUGUAAUGUCCUUCCCCCAGCUCUUCAGUGGCUAACCAGUUCUCAUUCUUCAGCUCUAUCUCAUCAUGCUUUUUUAUUUCCUUCAAAACAUCUAGAAUAAUCUGUAAUGAUCUAGGUUUUUGUCUACUGUCUGUCUUCCAAACUAAAUCUUGAUAAACGCAGAGAGUUUUCGUUUUUAUUCACUGUUAUCCUCCUGGGGCCAAAUACGUAGUGAGCUCUGGUUAGAUGUUAAGUAUUUUGCCUAAUAUCUCAAAGUUACUAAAUUGCAGAACUGGGACUCAAACCCAGUGUUUCUAUCAGUUCUUCCGUGAUCCUGAAUGGGCAGGGAGAAACUGGGGUGCACAAUUUCUAUCCUCCUGGAGAUUCCAGUCUGGUAAAGAAAAGAUGGAAUACAGAAUCAGAGUGACAAUUGGUUCCAAGCUCCAGAAAACCCCCACACUUCACUCUCCUCACAUCUUUAUCUUUGAGAACACAGGCUCAUCAUCAAUAAAGAUCUUUCUUGUUCCUGUGUCUCCCACUUAGAGUCUGCCACUAAAUCCUGUGCUAGUUGGCUUCCUUGCAUAUCUCCAUUCACCACUACUGCUACAUCAGUCCAGGCCACCUGUGUCGUCUGUCAAGACUACUACAACCAAACAGUCCCCUUUCCUUCAGUCUUGCCUCUAAAUCUGGUUGUGUGUGCUCUACUCCAAGCUCUACAACAGAAUAAAGUCUGGUCUUAUUAACAUUUCUUUCAAGGUUCCUCAGGAGAGGUAGGUAGACAUCUCCCUACCUCUACACGUCCAUUUCCUGUUACUCCUUUCCCUGAACUGCAACAUUCCAGUUCCCCAAACACCUCGUUACUCUCGCUGUAGGCUAUUUCUCCUGCCCAGAACUCUGCUCUGCCUGCUCUUUGGCUGACUUCCUCCCACUCAGCUUUCAGGUUGCAGCUCAGACAUCACUUCCUCUGUGAGAGCUCUGACACCCUCCCCCACCCUCACCACCACAGGUUGUGUGUUUUACUGCGUGUUCCCAUGGCAGCCUGUGCUUUGUCUAUCACAACAUUUUUUCUAUUUCCUUUUUUAAUUGUCUCCCUUUGUUGAUCUAUUGCAAACUCCCUAAAGUCAGGCACCUUAUCCAUCUUGUCUUUCUCACCAUUCAAUGCCCAGUGGCUGCUAAAUGCUUGUGUCGACUAAACACGUAGUAAAUAUUUAUUGGAUGAAUGGAUGGAUGGAUGGGUGGAUGGAUCAUAGCACUUGGAAUAGCUUCUCCAAAAUAAUCUAUAAACUCUCUUAAAUAAAAUAAGCUACAUUACUCCAUUUAUAGCUAGGAAACCACAGUCAAAGGGCAGAGGCCUAUUGGUGGCAGGCAUUGGGGAAUAAAGGGGAGUUCUCCCUUUUCGGCUGAAAUGUUCUAUCCAUAGAAAGGUUUCCAGCUUCUUUAAAGAGAGUUCAUUUUAUU